GUAGGGAAUAUUGCGCAAUGGACGAAAGUCUGACGCAGCGACGCCGCGUGAGUGAUGAAGGCCUUAGGGUCGUAAAGCUCUGUUGAAUGGGAAGAAAAAAAUGACGGUACCAUUCGAGGAAGGACCGGCUAACUUCGUGCCAGCAGCCGCGGUAAUACGAGGGGUCCUAGCGUUGUUCGGAAUCAUUGGGCGUAAAGGGUGUGUAGGUGGCCAGGUAAGUCAGGUGUGAAAGCUCCGGGCUCAACCCGGGAAGUGCACUUGAUACUGCGUGGCUUGAGUACCGAAGAGGGUAGUGGAAUUCCAGGUGUAGUGGUGAAAUACGUAGAUAUCUGGAGGAACACCGGUGGCGAAGGCGGCUACCUGGUCGAGUACUGACACUGAGACACGAAAGCAUGGGGAUCAAACAGGAUUAGAUACCCGGGUAGUCC
rnacentral:rRNA from 1 species